AUUGGCUGUAUGUGAGCAAGAGAGAAAGUAUAAAUACAAAGGGAAAAAGGUUUUCCAGAGCAGUCCUUUGCCUUGGACAGACAUUCACACCAGCUGACACCGAAUUUACACAACAUCACCACGCUGCCUGAAGUUCCAUAGAUUUGCAGCUAUAGACUAUCAACCAUCCCAGUGAGAAAACAUACAGACAGAGCAUCACAACAAGAAGAGAAAUACAAGAUGUCUGCUCGAAGAAUUAGAUACCCUAAAAACCUGAAAAAAGAAGGCAAAAGAACCCACAAAGAAGGGAUUCUGAGAUCAACUCCAGAUGUUCUCUAUGAGGACACUAGAAGAGACGGUUCAAGAUGCAACCUUAUUUUCCUUACUAAUUCUAAAGAGGACUGGAAAGCUGCAAUAAAGUCUGAAUAUCCUGGGAUGGAGGAAAAACAAUUGAUUGAUAAAAUUAAACUUGUACUCCCAGACAAAAGUGGCACUAUAUGUGUAUACCCUAGUGGAAAGUUUGUGAUACAAGGUACAGACGAAGGCCUUGCAGCAUUUGAAGCAAACUUUGAGAACCUGACCAACGAGAAGGAAAUGAUAACCUUGCAGAGACAAGCAGAACAAAUGGCCCUUGAUCAUGAGUCUGAUUCUGAUCCUGAAACAGAAGGCGAUCCUGGUGAGGCUGGGAUUGACCAAAAGGUCCUCUCCCAAACUAAAAUGCAAAAAAAAUAGAAAAAGGGAGGAAUAACAAAGUCUGGGUUGUCUGUUUAUUAAGUUCAAACAGACUGGAAAAAAAGAAAAAUAUGGAUCAUUAGACAAUAAAUAACUUCCAAUUAAAACUUCUCUGACCAGUCUAUGUCAUGAAUAGGUGACUGGGUUGUAAAAUCAAUUACAUAUUUUUAUUUUGCAUGUUAUGUACUUUCUGGUAAUGUAAUUUCUGGUUCUUGGGUUUACAUAUUGUUUUUAAAUGGUGUCAGGAUAUAAAAAUGAAAUAUCAAAUGUAAAGGAAUUAUAAUGAUGAUGUAUCUUCUGACUGUGUCUUACAACACUGGCUCACUAUAGUCUGUCUGCAAGUUACAGAGGAAUUACACAGCAGUCUUG